rnacentral:lncRNA from 1 species
CUAGAUCCAGUGAUGAAAGAGAUGAACAAGAUGAAUGAUGCUUCAUAGUAUAUCAGAAUUAAAUAAUUGCUCAUAAAUGUGGUAACUUUUAGAUGUGUAAUGAAUGCGAUUGACUUAGCCAAAAGAUAAUGUUCAGAUGAUUGUAAGAUCCCCUACAAAGUGUUUGUUUCUCCCUAUUUAAAGGGACAAUCCCCAAAAAAUUUUAAAAUGUACAACGUAGAAAAUAUUCCAAAACAUAUUCUUACUGUUUCCUACUAAAUAUACGUUGUAGUGGAUGUUAUGCAUCGAUUGACCGCCCUCAGUCGUUACCUUACACCACGACGACCAUCAGACGGUGCAUCAUGAUAACCUCGUUCCUUAUCCUACUCGAUAUUAAUCGUAGUGGCCAAAUUUGGACCCAUACAUUUAUAUUUUAAGAAAGUACAAAAAUUAACAAAAGAGGUCACAUGAAUUGAGAAAUAUGUAUCAUCUGCAAGCGAAGAUUACAAAAAAAAAAAUUACGAAAAAGAAAUAAAUAAGAAAAACUGGGAGGCCAAACACUAAAACUAAA